rnacentral:misc_RNA from 1 species
UCACUGCUUACGCAGGCAGUUUCACUAGAGUGCCCGGCAUUACCCGCUGGCAACUAAUGAUAAGGGUUGCGCUCGUUGCGGGACUUAACCCAACACCUCACGGCACGAGCUGACGACAACCAUGCAGCACCUUGCUUUGUGCCCCGAAGGGAAGCUCCGUUUCCGGAGCGGUCACUCGCAUUCUAGCCCAGGUAAGGUUCCUCGCGUACCAUCGAAUUAAACCACAUGCUCCUCCGCUUGUGCGGGCCCCCGUCAAUUCCUUUGAGUUUUAACCUUGCGGCCGUACUCCCCAGGUGGAAUACUUAACGCUUUUGCUUGGACGCGUACCGCUAAUGCGGCACACAUCGAGUAUUCAUCGUUUAGGGCGUGGACUAC